rnacentral:rRNA from 1 species
CAGCCGCCGCGGUAAUACGGAGGGUGCAAGCGUUAAUCGGAAUUACUGGGCGUAAAGCGUGCGUAGGCGGUUCGUUAAGUCUGUUGUGAAAGCCCCGGGCUCAACCUGGGAAUGGCAAUGGAUACUGGCGAGCUAGAGUAUGGCAGAGGGGGGUAGAAUUCCACGUGUAGCAGUGAAAUGCGUAGAGAUGUGGAGGAAUACCGAUGGCGAAGGCAGCCCCCUGGGCCAAUACUGACGCUCAUGCACGAAAGCGUGGGGAGCAAACAGGAUUAGAUACCCCAGUAGUCCCUGUCUCUUAUAC